rnacentral:piRNA from 1 species
UCUUAACAAAAAAGCUCGAUC